ACACAUCUAGUGCCUAAAAAAGCAUUUAUCACUCGGUUGUAUAAAUAACUAUUUCGUCAAAAUGCUACACCCUAACCCGCACGGACCUAUUUUUCAACAGACGAGGUGUAUUUAGAGCCGAAACUGAGUUCGCGACACGGUCAACUACCACCAACAAUAUAGGACCAUUCAAUUUUCGAACACAAGCUUCGUAGAAGAGACAGUUAGUCAUACAGCUGACGUAAACCCAACGCCAUUUAUCUUAAACUAGAAACAACGAGAAUGCAAUCAGGCCACAACAAAGUUGGUGUUAUCAUUCUUGGCAACAGUGGCGUUGGAAAAAGUUUUCUUGGAAAUGUCAUCAUAGGAAAAGAAGUAUUUCAACAUGAUUAUCGGGUCGAUGCUGUUACAUUAAAAACCGAAUAUUUAGUAUCGUACCUUGAUGGUCAUCUGUAUUCGAUCUACAACAUACCUGGACUCAUUGAAUCCGAUCAAGAACGUAUCGGUUCGAAUAUACUAGAAAUCGAUCUUGCAUUCCAACAUCAUCCCAAUGCCGUCGUACUUUUCGUCUUCGGUACAAAUAAUGGAAAGAUACGAAACGAAGAUGUCGUAGCAUUUAAUUCAAUCAAUGCUGCCUAUCCGCUCAGCCAGAAAUCUUUAAUAAUUGUUAUCAACGGUGUAAGUCCAGAUCGACCAAAUAACUACGAAUACGAUGUUCAAGUUAGAAUUGAACAUCUAUUGAAAAUAAAUAGACCGAGAUUGUGCUUCGUCGAUCAAAUAAAAAGAGAAUGCGAUAGAUUAACGAUACGGAAAAAACUGGUACCACUAAUUUUGGCAGCCUUGCCAAAAGCACACAGUAAAAAAAAAAUAUAAGUGUUAAAGCUGCAGAAAUAUCGAAACUAACGAAAAUAGUUGAUCAGCUGCAAAAACAUUUAGAUGAAGAGCGAGAGAAAAGGAAACAGGACGAAAUUAAACAUGAGUCGGCAAUAACUGAGAUGAAAAAUAAAAUGAGUCAAAUGACAAUCAGCCAAGAAAGGUCACAACGUGAGGCAAUCCAACUGCAAGAGGCACUGCAGCAGCAACAACAAAGGUCAGAACAGGAAAUGAGUCAAAUGCAACUGUUCUUGCUGCACUGCAGGAAUAUUCUAUGUCGAUGUUAACAGGCCAUGAUAUUCUGAUAUUCUGAUAAAAGUGACGUUUCUCCAUACAUCUAGUACAUAUUGUGGCGGUUGUUACUCUGUUAACAUUUACACAGAACAACUAUGGUCACACGGAAAUAAUAGUAGUAGUAGUAGUAGUAGUUCUCAUGGCUAUAGUUCCCAUCGUUCGAGUAGUUCGCAUGAACAUCGAUACCGUAAAUCAAGGAAGAAGUAAAUGUAAAAUCGAAUGAAAAAUGGCUAUUUUCCUAUGUAGUGGCUAAAAAAGACUUUUAUGUAAGAGAUGUAAAGGUUUCUAUUUUAAGUUUUUCAAUUAUUAAAAUUCAUUCGAGUG